AAAUUUUCCACAAGCA
rnacentral:tRNA from 1 species